rnacentral:rRNA from 1 species
UACGUAGGGUGCAAGCGUUUAUCCGGAAUUAUUGGGCGUAAAGAGCUCGUAGGCGGUUUGUCGCGUCUGCUGUGAAAACUGGGGGCUCAACCCCCAGCCUGCAGUGGGUACGGGCAGACCAGAGUGCGGUAGGGGGAGAUUGGAAUUCCUGGUGUAGCGGUGGAAUGCGCAGAUAUCAGGAGGAACACCAAUGGCGAAGGCAGAUCUCUGGGCCGUAACUGACGCUGAGGAGCGAAAGCAUGGGGGAGCGAACAGG